GCGUCGGUAGUGCAACGGUUCAGCACGCGCCCCCAGAUAGGGUGAAAUCCGUGUUCGAAUCCCAGCUGACGCA